UCUGUUUUUCUUCAAGUACUGGCACUGACGAUACCUCACUGGGUGGAUGAAGCGGCCUAUGGCAAGUACCAGGACGCUUGGAAGCUCCUAAACCAAAAAGAAGGUACAAGGUACUUUCUGCUACAAUCAACGUUUCGCGAUAAACCACACUUUUGGGGACGUAACUUCAAGUGUGUCACCGCUCGACAUACUCCUCGGAACCCGAAGGAGAGAACAGCUCUGUCUAUCUUCCAGUAUGUGGGCGUUCACAACUUUACGUUCACAGUUUCAAUGGGAGUGAAGGCUGUUACCCAAUACGGUUACAAAACUCCGAAUGCACUUGAAUACGACUUGAU